UACGGAGGGGGCUAGCGUUGCUCGGAAUUACUGGGCGUAAAGCGCGCGUAGGCGGCUUUGUAAGUUAGAGGUGAAAGCCCGGAGCUUAACUCCGGAACUGCCUUUAAGACUGCAUCGCUAGAAUUGUGGAGAGGUGAGUGGAAUUCCGAGUGUAGAGGUGAAAUUCGUAGAUAUUCGGAAGAACACCAGUGGCGAAGGCGACUCACUGGACACAUAUUGACGCUGAGGUGCGAAAGCGUGGGGAGCAAACAGG
rnacentral:rRNA from 1 species